rnacentral:lncRNA from 1 species
AUUUGUGCAAAGAGCUACAUGCCACAUGCUGUUCUCCAGCCUGCUGUGUGUAUUUGUGGCCUUCAGCUACUCUGGUAUGGAUGGUUCCAAGUGAUCAAGUGUGGCCCAGAAGGUUACUCAAGCCCAGUCAUCAGUAUCCAUGCCAGUGAGGAAAGCAGUCACCCUGAACUGCCUGUAUGAAACAAGUUGGUGGUCAUAUUAUAUUUUUUGGUACAAGCAACUUCCCAGCAAAGAGAUGAUUUUCCUUAUUCGCCAGGGUUCUGAUGAACAGAAUGCAAAAAGUGGUCGCUAUUCUGUCAACUUCAAGAAAGCAGCGAAAUCCGUCGCCUUAACCAUUUCAGCCUUACAGCUAGAAGAUUCAGCAAAGUACUUUUGUGCUCUUGGGGAACU